CCUUACAGUCAGCACUAAUGAUUAUAAACCUUAUCUAAGCAUAAAAUACAUAUGAACAAGAAAAGUUAACUACUUCAUAUUCUUACAUUCCCCUCUUUGAGCAAAAACUUGCUCAUAUUAUCUGUUAACAUUCUCCCAGGACAGGGAAAUUUCCACAUUACGGCAUUCCUAAGCAAUCAUGUGGUCUAUAAGAAACAGAAACUCAGCAGGAAUAAAGACACUUAAUACUUUUGCAGACAGAUAUAUAGAAAAUGGAUGUUUAAGACAACAUGAAACUUGGGCUUCUAGCAAAUAUAUUAUUGCAAAUAGCUGACAUGUUAACCAAUUUUAAACAGACUAACCAGCCGGUCAUUUGUUUCAUAAGCCCUGGGUGAAUAUGGGCAAAGUGUAUUAUUCCCAAGAGUUGUUUUCCUCCUUCGUCCACGGAAGUGGGCGCAUAUAGUCAAAGUGGGAAUAAUACCUAUCCCCCGUCCAAGGACCGGGGUCUAGGAUUACCAGUCCACCCGAUGAUCUGGGGCCAGGCAAAAAAAUCCAGUGGCAAAAACCCAUAUUUGAGGAAAAGGCACAUCUAGGGAAAACCUGAGUGGGGGCCGCGAUCGUGUUAGACAUGUCAUCCCAUCACAGUUGACACCACUUGUGACUUAUAAUACCUGCACCUGUGAGUACAUAGCUCGGGUAUCGGGAGGAAUUGGGAAACACUUCUUACAUAUUAAUUCAUGAGAUAAAUUAUAAUCUAGCUUGAAAUUCUGACAAUAAUCACAACCAGGACCUUGCGUUCUAUAUCUUUUAACCAUUUCCCUAUUCCAAAGGUCCAGUCAAAACCAUAUCCUCCUGGACAGCUCACUAAGAAUGCAGCUUCACAAUGAACGUAAAAUGGAU